AUUUACUAUAUACGAAGACAGACACUUUCACUUACCUACUACCAUGGAAUACAUUUUAACAACGAUGAAGGCAGAGCCACGUUUUAUAGAAAAAGGGGGAAGAAUAUUUAUUUUAAGAAAGGCAGUUUUAAUGAAUAUAUGGUUGAUUGGGAACCCAUAUAAACAUAUGGGUCUAAAACCAGUGGGUUUAGUACUUUGCAUUUCCUUUUUAUUCUUCAGCCAAGGUGGGGGAUUUCAGUUUUCAGAUCAGAACAGUCAGGUAUAAUAAUAAAUAUAUAACUUGUCAUUUUUUAAGCUUCAGAAAACAGUAAAACAAUACACUUUUUUUUUGUUUUUGUUUUUGUUUUUUGUUUGUUUGUUUGUUUGUUUGAGGCAGAAUCUCGCUCUGUCACCCAGGCUGGAGUGCAGUAGCGCAAUCUCUGCUCACUGCAAGCUCCGCCUCCUGGGUUCACAGCAUUCUCCUGCUUCAGCCUCCCGAGUAGCUGGGACUACAGGACCCGCCACCACGCUCGGGUAAUUUUUUGUAUUUUUAGUAGAGACGGGGUUUCACCGUGUUAGCCAGGAUGGUCUCGAUCUCCUGACCUCCUGAUCUGCCUGCCUCGGCCUCCCAAAGUGCUGGGAUUAUAGGCGUGAGCCACCACGCCCGGCCAAAACAAUAUACUUUUCUCAGAAAGACAGACAGAAGACAGAAAACCGUCAAAGUUAAAAUCAUGAACUUCUGGCAGCGUUGCUGUGGUAUCAGGUCUCACUCUUCUUGUGAACAGAUUGUUCCACCAGACAGCUUUGCCAAUUUGGUAGCAAAUUGGAGCUUUGCUCCUUUGGAGAAGCAAAAUCUAUAACAACUAGUGUGAUAAAUAAGUGAAGGUCAUCGGGACUUCUCCAUUGAAGAGACGACAUUUAAGCUGAGACGUGAAUGAAGGGAAGGAGAUAACCUGGAGGAACAUUCUUGGCAGAAGGAACAGUAAAUGCCUGGGCCUAAAGGUAGUGGCAGCAGCAAGAGCAGCAGCAGAAUAAGAAGCCAGAGAGUUUCAAAGGACUAGAAAGGUGUGAUGGAUUUUGGUUGCUUGACCAUGGGGGGUCCAUAUGAAGAGAAAUGUAGGUGGUAUUGAGAAGUUGAGACUGGUGCCUGACUGACAGCCUGUGAGGAUUUAGGAACCUUAGUUCUACAACCACAAGGAACUGAAUUCAGCCGACAAACUAAAUGAGGCUGGAAGCAGGUUAUUCUCCUGAGCCUCCAGACUGGAGACCAACCUGGCCAGCACCUUGAUCUGGACUUUGUGAGAAUCUAAGCAGAGAAACCAUCUGAGAUCACCUGGGGUUCUGAUCUACAGAACUGUAAGAUCAUAAAUCAAUGUGAUUUUAAGCAACAAAGACUGUAGAAUUUGUUAUAUAGCAACAAAAUAUUAAUAUUUUUGCUUUUAAAUUUCCAUUUUUAAUGUAAGAACUUACUGAGGAUCUAAUUUUAUUUUUUCCCUAUAGAUAAACAAUAGUAUAUUAUAGAAACUAGGGAUCCAUUUUCAUUUUUUUCACAUAGAUGACCAGUUGUUAUCCACUGUUUACUAUCCAUACUUAACCUAGAAGACUCUAAAGUUAAUCUAUACUAUCUUUUUUUAAAACAGAGAACUUUAUAACUCUUUAUUUUUGAAUUUUUAUUGGUCAUCCUCUCCCUGAUAUGUGGUUAUUUUCCAAUAUUUUGACCUGUUUUCACUUCAAAAGUCAACCAUUGAUAUUAUUGUGAAGAUAUUAUUGUUAUUACUAUUAUUAGGGUAUUCUUAUUACCUUAUAAUAUGGUUUGGCUGUGACUCCACCCAAAUAUCAUCUUGAAUCGUAGUUUCCAUAAUCCCCACGAGUCAUGGCAAGAACCCAGUGAAAGGUAAUUGAAUCAUGGGGGCAGUUACCUCCAUGCUGUUCUCCUGAUAGUGAGUGAAUUCUCCUGAGAUCUGAUGGUUUUAUAAGGGACUUCCCCCGCCUUGCUCGGCACUUCUCCUUCCUGCCACUGUGUGAAGAGAGAAGUGUUUACUUCACCUUCCACCACGACUAUACAUUUCCUGAGCCUUCCCCAGCCCUGGGGAACUGUGAAUCAAUUAUACCUCUUUCCUUUAUAAAUUACCCAGUCUUGGAUAUUUUUUCAUAGCAGCGUGAGAAUGGACUAAUACCUUCUAUCAAUCCUUUAUAUUUUCCUACAACAUCGGUCCUCAGCCUUUUUGGCAUAGGAAUCGGUUUCAUGGAAGACAAUUUUUCCAUGAAAAAUGGGGGGCAUGGUUUCAGGAUGAAACUGUUUCACCUCAGAUCAUCAGGCAUUAGUUAUAUUCUAAUAAGGAGCACACAACUUGGAUUCCUCAUAUGCACAGGUCACAAUACGGUUUGUGCUCCUGUGAGAAUCUAGUUCCGCCAUUGAUCUAAGAGGAAGAGGAGCUCAGGCUGCAAUGCUAGUCACCUCCUGCUGUGUGCCUCGGUUUCUAACAGGCCAAGGACUGGUACAGGUCUGUGGCGGGGGGUUGGGGACCCCUGCCCUACAAGUUUAGUUCUUCUUCCACAUCAUUCCUUAUUAAUUUCAUUCCUCACAUCUCAAACCUUCCAAGAUUCUUUUCAUUAUUUCCGAAUUUUCUGUAGUAAAAUUGCAUUGGUUAUAAACAUGAGAUUUUUGCAGUGUUUAAUAUUAUAGUAGCAGUUAUCAAGGGAAGUGCUGAAGGUACCUUGUUAAUCAUUAAUUUCACCAUUUCAUUUUACAGAUGAGAAAAGUGAGCCCCAGAAUGGCAAAAAUGAAACAAUGUAAAAUUUUUAGAUAGAAAAAAUAGUCCAUUAUUUUUGUUUACAACUUAUGAUUUAUCUGUUUUUUUCUAAGGCCUCACAGAAACUCAGCAGGAAAACCGGGAUAAAAUUUCCAGACUUCUGGUUUUCUUGGUCUAAUAUUCUCUCCGCUAUUCAUUACACUACAUUCCCUCUCAUUAUGAAACAAUUCCCAUUUAUUUUCACCUCGUCUUCCUGCUAUGACAUCUUGUCUGGUUUUCAGACAUGUGAGGAAAGUUCAAUGAGGGGAUACAGCACUGAAAAUGCUCUUUUUGAGUGUCUUUGUUUGAAAACAACAGUAGGUGUUUCUAACAGCAUCUACAUAGCCAGUUUCCAAAAUUUAUCCCAGUAUUGCAGUGCUUGAAUGACAAAAUAAUGAUCCUGCUUUGUUACCCUGCUGCUAGUACCUAUCAAAUAAAAUUGUCUGUCGCUGCUCAUUUAUAGAGGAAAUCCUGAGAGUAUUGAUUUUUAAUUAUUUCCCUUGAGCAUCAGUUGUAUUAUAUUUCAUUUAAUGGAUACAAAUGGGGGAGGUGAAAUCAUC
rnacentral:lncRNA from 10 species